rnacentral:lncRNA from 1 species
UCAGACCUCCCAACGAGCAAGCGACACGCGACAAUCACAAACUGUCGUUAGAACAUUUCUACAGAUACAGUAGAGUGCGGCUGUUGAUUCAGAGGAAUGUGGCGUUUCGUCUUUCUGCUCCUGCUUCUUGGAGCUUUUGGUGUCAGUGACAAGCGAUGGACUGUUAAAGUUUUUACAGCGAACCAUUAUCUUGCGGGUACAGACUCCGGUAUCUUUAUUACUCUACAUGGAGAUCGAGGAAAUUCCGAAGAAAUAGAGAUAGACAAUAAAAACAACAAUUUUGAACAAGGAUUUAUUGAGAGAUUCUAUAUUAGGACGCCCGACAUUGGUUUACUGUGCAGCGUGCGCAUCAGGUCUGACGGUGUGUUCGCUUCUUCUGGCUGGAAACUCCGAAAGAUUGAGAUUUAUCGUGAAGGAUCAGAUGCUCCUAUCACCUUUACGUGCUGGUGCUGGUUGGAACAUGGGCACUUAGAGCAGACAAUUUAUAAUGACUCCACCUUUUGCUCGUAAAGAAGUAAACCGAAGUAGGUGCAGACUUUGAAUACUGCGCUGACCAAACAGCAUAAAGAGUUUAUUCACCUGAUGGAACACCUUUCUCAUCGGAUAACAGGAAUUAUAAGAAAUAUCUGUCAACGUCUACUGUCACCCGUCAACAGUGUCAGUGCCCACACCUCUGAUAAUGUUUUUGCUUACAGUUGAAAAUCUCUAGUACAUGAUAACAAAAGUAACUAAAACUAUGACAGUGUGUAGGACAUCCCAAUAGGCACUACAAUGUGGCGAUAAAAGCAUAAUUAAUAUGAGUCAAUAAUUGUUUUUGAAAUAUGUGUUGAGGUUUGUGUGGUCAAAUCGGGGAUCUCAUUAUAGUAUACUUCAGAAGAUAUUGGUUAUGGGCGAGUGUAAGAUAACAACCCUUUUGGAUACUUUGACAUAUAAUACAUAUGGUUGAGAUGCCUCUUUGUGGAAACACUUCGAAAGAUUAAGUUUCACACCUGCCAAGUAUUAAUUUCGCACUACUUGUCUUAAUAAGAAUACGUUUUUCUGGUGAAUUUCUAGGCAUAGCCCUUUGACCAGAGAUAUCUCCAGUACAUUCAAAUAUAUAAAAAUGAUCAUUCUUGAAAAAUGAGACAAAAAUUUGUACUACAGAAAGACACUCUAUUCAAUGAUCUGCAAGUUUGAUACUGUCUGAAUGUUAGUUUGAAAAAAGUACAUUUACAAAGUAUUAUCGAUUACAGUCAGAAAUUUAAAUUAAGUUUAAACUACUUGAAAAAUCCAUUUCGCAGAUAGUUAUUUUGUAUUUGAUUAUUUUGUUACAAGAUGUCAUGAAAAGGUAGGAAAUAUAGUGUUAACCUGUACACUAGCCAACCCUAAAGAGUAGUAAACUGUAAACGCUUCUGAAAAUGUAGACCUCUUAACUCAAGGUCUUUUACCCCACAAGCAAUUCUAGAGUAAACAAUUCUGCAAAAAGUAAAAGAGUGGAAAAUAAUGUCUAAUAUUUAGAUAAAAGUGUUCUAAGAAUUUUGAACUUUAUCGUUGUAAAAGACAUCUAUUAUGCAAGGUAAAAAUAAAAAGUUGAAGCGCAA